AUAAGCCCAAACCAGACAGUUUAGGAAGGUCAUUCUACUUAGGAGGAGAGUAAAUAACAUUUUACAAAUGACUUUGGAGUUGCCUGGGUUUUUUUCUUUUUAAAAGUCUCCCUUUGCUAGUGGAAGUCACUGGGGAAUGGAUGAUAUGGCAAGUGCUUGCUGUUCUUGGAGUUCGGGUUCACUACUCCCCUUCUCAUGCAAGGGACUGAGAUGGUACUGGUGGGCUCAGGAGCCAGGUUCUAGAUUACUGCUGUCUUAGCUGGCAACUAGGGCAGUCGAAACCAAAAGCCUCAGAAGUCCUGUUCAAUGAGGGUAAAUAUUUGAAUGGAUUGAACAGAUGAGUGUGUGUAUAUUUAGAAACUCACACCCAGUAGAGAAAGAACCUCUGGAGACGGGAUCUCUCUAUAUUGCCCAGGCUGGUCUUGAACUCCUGGCCUCAAGCAAUCCUCCCACCCCGACCUCCCAGAGCACUGGGAUUACAGUGCUGGAUUAGUGGCUGGCACAUAGUAAUUGCACAUGGUAAAUACCUGUUACAUGAAAGAAUUUGACAGUGGUAAGUUAACAUAGGUCUUCAUUAAGUGGGAAAAUUUGCCCUGGCAAUGGGAUAUGUUGACAUUGGAAGCAGUUGUGUUUCAUCCUCAUGUAUCUCUUACCUGGAGCAGUGCCUGUCUUGGAAUAAGUGUCAUAGUGAACAUUUUGGAGUGAAUGAAUCAAUCACAGGCAGAUUGCGGACCCUGUCGUAGCAGAUGGAUGAGCUCAGAGGACACUACAGGAACCAGGGCCAAGGCAGGGCCAUGGUCGGGGCCAUGGUCAUGGCCCAGGGAGAAUUCACAGUUUGGCUAGCAGCAUCCUGGUUGUACAGCCACAAGGCAGCCCAGUUUGUAGUAGCAGAAUAGGGUCCAGUGUCAGCAGGCGAGGCUGUCCCAGUUACAGGCAGUCAGGUCAGAAGAGGUCCCAGCAGGAGUGCAGGGCUGGCAGGAUUCAAGGUCAGGUAAUCCAAAGUCACAAGGUUACAAGCAGUAAAAGUUCAGGCUGGCUGGCGAGAGAGCCAAGGAGCUCCUGGAGGGAGCUGUCGCCCGGGCUGGGCUCCCCUCCUGAAUGAGGCCUUUCUUCUCAGGCUGCUCAGAGUGCCUGAGAGGAAUACACCAGACCUCAGGGCAGGCUGGGGAGGGUGAACCGGAGACUUAUCCUGGUACGGAGCCAGAAGGAGCCUUCAUGAAUGUCUUGUCAAACUCUUCAUUUGGUGAGUGAGGAAAUCAAAGUUUAAAUGAGAGGUUAUUGAGCAAGUGGUAGAGCCAACGCUGGAAUCAGGCCCUGUAGAGUUUUUCCCACUUCCUCGUCUUUUCUAUCAAAAAUGAAGAGGUGAUGGGAAUUGUGGUUCUCGGAAGGAGGAAGCACUGAGGUGCAAGCCUUAGAGAGGAAUGAUGGAGAGCACUUGGAUAUGGGGCAAAAGGAGGAAUUCCAGGAGGACUGCACAGGCCUGGAGACUGGCGGUACAGGUGAUGGGAAUUUGAAGGAAACUGCUUGGAUGAUGACUGAGAUACUGACUCUAGAAUAUAAAUUCCAUGAUGACAAAAUCUUUUUCAUUUUAAUUGAAGCAUAACAUACAGAAAAGUGCAUAGAAGGCAAGGACUUAACAUUUUUUUAUUGUGCUAAAAAAACACAUAGCAUAAAAUUCAUCAUCUUACCCAUUUGUAAUUGUACAAUUCAGUUGUAUUAAGUUCCUUCGUGGUGUUGUGCAACCCUCACCACCAUCUGUCUCCAGGACUCUAUUCAUCUUACGUAACUGAACUCUGUGCCCAUUCAACUGCCUUUUCUUCUCCCCACAGCCCCUGGCAACCACCAUUCUAUUUUCUGUCUUUAUGAAUUUGGCUACUCUUAAAACUGCAUGUAAGUGGAAUUAUAUAGUAUUUGUCUUUUUGGGACUGGUUUAUUCCACUUAGCAUAAUGUCCUCAAGGUUCAUCUGUGUUGUAGCAUGUGUCAGAAUUUCCUCCCUCUCAAGGAUGAAUAGUAUUCCACUGUAUUUUGUUCAUCGCUUCAUCCAUUGAUGAACCCUUGGGGUGAGGACUUUUACAUGGCUUGCUCACCAGUGACUAGAACAGAUCCUGGCUUUAAAAGUAACUCAACAGGUAAUAGUUGAAUGAAUUUUAGUUAUGUUGAACGGGAGGUGAUAGUGGGACACCCAAGUGGGCUGUCCAACAGGUAUUCCUGGAUGUCUCAGGACUAAAGGUUGGAAUCGCCUUCAUGGGUAGGGGGUAAAGACAGUGGUGUGAAGGUGCUCCCAGGGACGGGGUUGAACAAUAGGAGCAGGGGCCUGGGGCUAGCACAGGUGGGACCAGAGUCAUGACAGAUGCAGGAAAGGUGGUCUCAGGACAGUGGUACAGGCCAGAACACGAGAUCAGGGGAAAUGUACCCAGUACAGCCAGAGCCAUUAAGUGCUAGGCAGUAGGCAAGGCACUAGGACUAGCAACACGUGUGAGGCAGACGUAAAGAUUCAUCAGCACAAAUCAUUCUAAGGCCUCGUGGAAGUGGAAGUCUUGAACUUGAGUGUGGACUUGAAAUACAGUUGGACUCUGCACUAUGAAGAGGAGAGAGAAGGACACCACAAGUGAGAAAGCGUUGAGAAAAGGAGCUUGGUGGAAAGAAUGGGAGGGUACAGGGCACAAAAGGAGACCAGAAUGAUGAGGCAGUGGACUUGCGGGGGACGUGGGAGGCAGGGUCGGCACUUCUUUUAUUUCUUUCCCUUUAAAGUUGAUCAAGAGUUGGCAGUUGGGAAGCUUAAGUAAUCUACAUCUAAACACUACAUCUAAUGUAACUCCUACUUAAAAUUACUGGACACCAAAAAAUCCCCAGGCAAGCUUAUUGCCCUGUAUGUAUGGUAGAAUAUUGUAACAUGGACAGUGGUAGUUGUAAAGACCUGGUUGCAUGUGACAGAUGCACUUGCUCAAAUAUGAGUGUGGCGAUUUCUCAGUCACAUGCUGAAAAAUCAAGAGCCUCUAGUCAAUUUAACCAGUAUUCACUGGGCUGCAGCUGAGAGCCCUGCUUAACACUAGAUGCUGGGAUAGAAAGACAAAAAGGUGAGAUUAAGAAGUAAGAGUUAAGCCUGGGCUGUACCUAGACUUACCUGAGUUUUAGAGACCUUCCUUUCCACAGAUAUUGGGCUGAAAACUGAGAAAGUGGAUGCCUCGUCUGCUCCCAUCUUACUCUCUGCAGCUUCCUACACAACUGCUGGGCUCCCAAUGCUCUGCUCUGGGGCCAGGCAAAAGUCUGUACUCUCAUGCAUACGCACUUCUGAAAAAGCGGCUUGGUAACUUCUUAGGUACACCCACAAGGUUGGCCCCAGAUCUCAAGGAAAUCCUCAGAAAUGGUUUUGAAAGAUAAUAUCCAGCUAACUCCCCCAAAUUCAGGAUCCCUAGAAGCUAUUUAUCUUCUAGGGAUUGCCUAGAGUAUUCCUACAGGAUGUAAAUGAAGGAUGCAAGCACGUGGAGCAUGAGUAUUCUAUACAGGGAACCAGUCGGAUGCCACCCACCAGUGCCAGAACGAAGGCAGAGAGCAUGGGGUUGGAGAGGCCAGAGACCCUACGUGCUUCUGAAUAAUGGGGUGUCCCUGCCAGAGCUAGGAAGCGUGAGGUGUCACCCUACCAGCCUACAGCUCUGAGUGCUAAAAGGGAAUCCGGGACCCUGAAGGAAGCUUUGAGUCUCUGGGCUUGUGCCUGUCAGAUCUCUGACACCACUAUUUACCUAUGUUCCACAAUAGGUUACCUUAGCAUUCAGCUUAGUCUGGUCUUAGCAUCUAAGAGACAAGGUUUCAGGGAGCCUUAUGUAUAAGCAAUAAUGUAGUGAUGAUGCUAACUUUAUUAAGUGUUUAGUGUGUCCUAGGUGCUGUUCUGUUUUCUAUGUAUUCACUCAUUUAAACCUCACAGUAACUCUGAGAUAACUGUUAUAUUUGACAGAUGAGGAAACUGAGUCACAGAGAGCUAUAAUAUCUUUCCUGAGAUCACUCAGCUAGUAAUAAGCAGAGACAGAAAUUGCACCGGUCCUGCUCCAGAGUCUGCAUUCUUAGGGAAACAGCUCCAGUGGGAUGUGUAGGAGCCACCAGAGGCCAGAGCAGAGAGGUCAGCUGCUGACCAAUCACACUCCUAGAUCCAGUUUCUCCCUGUCAGAGCCAGCUGCCCCUGCUGCUUCAGAGAGGGGGCUGUGGCCCUGUUGUUUUACCUAGGUUUGCCAGGAGGAUUAUUAGCCUCUUCCUCGUGUCAAAACAAGCCAAGCAGGAAAAAAAACCAACAAGCAACUCAUGACUUGCAGCAGAAAAAACCCUGCGGUCUCUCCAGCAGGAGGGGAGACCUCAGCUGCAGGGGCCCGAAGGUCCCAGGUUACAACCUGGUCUUAGGCAUAUAUUGCUGAGAAGGGCCUUGAGGUCCCCUCGUUUCAGUCAGGAUGCUGAGGCCUGGCUCACCAUAAUGCCCAGUCUCCACAGCAGCCUGCCUUCUCUGCUCUCCUGCUACACCCCGGGAAAUUUAAUAGUGUCUCCCAGUCUGCUCAUGGGAAGCCCGGAGGCCUACAGUCUUUCCCCUAGUUCUGCUGUGAGCUAGCUCUGGGACCCUGGGCUACUCCAGUUUCC
rnacentral:lncRNA from 1 species